rnacentral:lncRNA from 1 species
CUCAUGUGCUUUGAAUGUUCACUGACCUGUGAAGAUGGCCUAGUGGAUAAAUAAACUUAUACAUGGACCUGGCAAGUCUGAAGGAUAUUAGAAAGAGAGUUCGGAUUCCUGGGGGGAAGCGCAUUCUAACACAGUGGUUAAUGACUGCAGCAAGGAUGGAAUAAAAGAAACAUGCCAACUCAUUUACACAAAGCCUGAGGCUUAUCCAGGAUUGCUGUCUCUCGCUAGCAGAUGGGGGUUUUCCUCUCCGAAAACGAGCCCCGUUCUAGUCCCUAGAGCUACUGGGUACUGGCCAACUUCUCGCAAGCGCUGAAGAGACAGCAGAGAUGACAGGCACAGG